CUUGACAUCCAGAGAACUUGGCAGAGAUGCCUUGGUGCCUUCGGGACCUCUGAGACAGGUGCUGCAUGGCUGUCGUCAGCUCGUGUUGUGAAAUGUUGGGUUAAGUCCGCAACGAGCGCAACCCCUAUCCUUUGUUGCCAGCGAUUCGGUCGGGAACUCAAAGGAGACUGCCGGUGAUAAACCGGAGGAAGGUGGGGAUGACGUCAAGUCAUCAUGGCCCUUACGAGUAGGGCUACACACGUGCUACAAUGGCGCAUACAAAGAGAAGCGACCUCGCGAGAGCAAGCGGACCUCAUAAAGUGCGUCGUAGUCCGGAUCGGAGUCUGCAACUCGACUCCGUGAAGUCGGAAUCGCUAGUAAUCGUAGAUCAGAAUGCUACGGUGAAUACGUUCCCGGGCCUUGUACACACCGCCCGUCACACCAUGGGAGUGGGUUGCAAAAGAAGUAGAUAGCUUAACCUUCGGGAGGGCGUUUACCACUUUGUGAUUCGUGACUGGGGUGAAGUCGUAACAAGGUAGGCGUAGCGAG
rnacentral:rRNA from 1 species